rnacentral:rRNA from 1 species
UAGGGAAUAUUGCGCAAUGGGGGAAACCCUGACGCAGCAACGCCGCGUGAGUGAGGAAGGUCUUCGGAUUGUAAAACUCUGUUCUUAGGGAAAAAUGUCUUAGUGGCUAAUAUCCAUUAGGAGUGAUGGUACCUAAGUAGAAAGCACCGGCUAACUUCGUGCCAGCAGCCGCGGUAAUACGAAGGGUGCAAGCGUUGUUCGGAAUCAUUGGGCGUAAAGCGAGCGCAGGCGGAUCAGUAAGUCAGGUGUGAAAUCUCGAGGCUCAACCUCGAAAUUGCGCCUGAAACUACUAGUCUAGAAUGUCGGAGGGGAUAGGGGAAUUUCACGUGUAGGGGUAAAAUCCGUAGAGAUGUGAAGGAACACCGGAGGCGAAGGCGCCUAUCUGGACGACUAUUGACGCUGAGGCUCGAAAGCGUGGGGAGCAAACAGG